UACGGAGGAUCCAAGCGUUAUCCGGAAUCAUUGGGUUUAAAGGGUCCGUAGGCGGUUUCAUAAGUCAGUGGUGAAAUCUGGUCGCUUAACGAUCAAACGGCCAUUGAUACUGUUAGACUUGAAUUACUGGGAAGUAACUAGAAUAUGUAGUGUAGCGGUGAAAUGCUUAGAUAUCACAUGGAAUACCAAUGGCGAAGGCAGGUUACUGCCAGUUGAUUGACGCUGAUGGACGAAAGCGUGGGGAGCGAACAGG
rnacentral:rRNA from 1 species